GUUAAAAUGCCUAAAAUAAUACAAAAUCAAAGUUUCAAAAUUUGAAUUUUAAAUAUAUUUUUAAUUUCGGAAAUCUGAUUAUCGAAUUUCGGCCAAUCCGUAUAUUUUUACACUGGGUUACCUGACUGUGCGAGGUAAUCGAUGAUUACUUAUAAUUUUAUAGAUUAUAGGGUCUAGAUAGGAGUUUAGAUAAUAAAGGCCACAGAUAUUAUUUUUAUUUAGACAUUUUUUUUCGGACAGGGAGAAGAGGGUGUUGAAUAUCCCAUACCUAAGACACACCUCUGAUAAGGUUAAAUCAAUAAUGGUUACAGAAAAAAUAUCCAAGUAAUUAUUUAUGUUUAAACAUUUCGUCCUUGUAAUCUAUUUUAAAAUGUAUAGUUUAUGUAAUAUGUGAUUUAUCUAUUAUUAUAAGUUUUUUUUUAUCACCGUAUAACAAAAAAAAAAAAAACCUAUACGAUGUAUAAGGUUUAUGUAAUUUUAUGAGAUAGUGGAAAACUUCUUUUUAAAUCCAGUACCUACCUAUUAUAGCAAUAAUAAUAUUGCUUAAAAUAUCCACAAUACGACUGCGGGUGUAUACAUACUUGUACCUAUAAUAUCUUGUAACGUCCAAAAAUGACCAUUUUCCGUUAUCAAAGAACAAGCAUACAUACAAUCCAUAUGGUCGACCGGUUAAUAGAUUACGCUCGCGUCGACGAAUAUGUUAUGUCAUCAUGAACAAUAAUUCCUCUCCCCCCCUGCGCAAAGGUUUAUGCGAUCGCGAUCUUUUGCAAUUCGCAAUAACGGCCAAUCAGAUCACGUUUCCUCUUAUCGCCAAAAACGUCGGCCCCCGGCGACGUGUGUGUCACGAACGUCUCCGCACUCCGCUAACCAGUUUCAUUUAUUCGUUCGUUUCCUUUGUUCUUCGCGUCCAGACCUCUUCUCGAGACUUCCGUCACCGGACGGUCUUUCGAUACAGUUCUUUUGCUAAAAACACGCCCGUACUGUACGGAUUCGCAUAUUUUGCCAUCAAGAAAAGGUCGUGUACCUUGGCACGUUUUCUGACGGUGCCUCAAACGAACCGAUGAAGUGACUGGCCCGCCGGGCGGACAUCUUCGGGCGAGACAAAUGGUAAUAUACAUGUGAUUUAAUAAUUGGCCGAUACCCCGUUAGUUUUAAGGUAGUUGAGUUAAUGUCCCCCGUAUAAAUAUUUUUAUCUAGAAUGUUUUUUUUCUCUUUUCUCUCGUAUGUUAAAUUCGUAUACGAUUAAAUAUCUUAUGUUAAACACUUCCGUUAUACCUACGGGGAUCAACCAGCGUCUAUUAGGUUUGUGUGUCUGUCUCAUUGUAAUAAUCCCCGCGUUCCGCAUCCUAUGUGCGAUAGGCUAAAUCCCUCACCCCCGCAUUUUGUUUUUUUAUUUUUAUUUUUAUUCCCUUUAAGCACUAUGUUAUUAUAUAUAUAUAUAUACAUUUUAAAUAUAUGUUGUUUGGAUAUAUGUGUCUAUCAUUCUAUGUAUGUAUACCUAUGGAAAAUCGUACCUACUAUUCACUUUCAGUUGACAGUUUUUAUGCCCAUGGGCUUUUCUGUCACAUCAACGUAACAUUACUUUUAUUUGACGAUUAACGAGUUAAUAAAAUAAUUCUUUAUUUUCCC